rnacentral:rRNA from 1 species
AGACUGCCGGUGGUUAAACCGGAGGAAGGUGGGGAUGACGUCAAGUCCUCAUGGCCCUUAUAUCCAGGGCUACACACGUGCUACAAUGGCCGGUACAAAGGGUCGCAAUACCGCAAGGUGGAGCUAAUCCCAAAAAAGCCGGUCUCAGUUCGGAUUGGAGUCUGCAACUCGACUCCAUGAAGUCGGAAUCGCUAGUAAUCGCGUAUCAGCAUGACGCGGUGAAUACGUUCCCGGGCCUU